rnacentral:rRNA from 1 species
AUUGACGCUGGCGGCAGGCCUAACACAUGCAAGUCGAGCGGUAACAGGGAUAGCUUGCUAUUCGCUGACGAGCGGCGGACGGGUGAGUAACGCGUAGGAAUCUGCCCGGUAGUGGGGAUAGCCCGGAGAAAUCCGGAUUAAUACCGCAUACGCCCUAAGGGGGAAAGCAGGGGAUCUUCGGACCUUGCGCUAUCGGAUGAGCCUGCGUCGGAUUAGCUU